rnacentral:misc_RNA from 1 species
AACGCACCUUGCGCUCCUUGGCAUUCCGAGGAGCAUGCCUGUUUGAGCGUCAUCAAAUUCUCAGAAUCCUACAAGUGCUGUAGUACAAGAGGGGGGGGGGAAGGCUCUGCCUAUUGCUGGUUCACUCCAGCGAGGGGGCAGGUGCACCUUGCUCUCUCUCUACUGCAAGUCCCUCAUGUGGGGUGUGGAUUGUGGGGGAUGCGAUCGCUUCGCCUCGUUCUGGGGCACGCCUUUUGCUUCCCUGAAACGAAUUGUGGUGGAUGCCACUGGGUAUGAUAUGUGCAUCUUACCCCCAUGGCAUCUAUCUUGCACAGCCAUGUGCAAUUCUCUUCUUAUUUGACCUCAAAUCAGGCAGGACUACCCGCUGAACUUAA